UACAGAGGUCUCAAGCGUUGUUCGGAUUCAUUGGGCGUAAAGGGUGCGUAGGUGGCGCUGUAAGUCGGGUGUGAAAUUUCGGAGCUUAACUCCGAAACUGCAUUCGAUACUGCGGUGCUUGAGGACUGGAGAGGGGACUGGAAUUCAUGGUGUAGCAGUGAAAUGCGUAGAUAUCAAGAGGAACACCAGUGGCGAAGGCGAGUCCCUGGACAACACCUGACACUGAGGCACGAAAGCUAGGGGAGCAAACAGG
rnacentral:rRNA from 1 species